rnacentral:rRNA from 1 species
GACGAACGCUGGCGGCGUGCCUAAUACAUGCAAGUCGAGCGAGCGGAACCAACAGAUUUACUUCGGUAAUGACGUUGGGAAAGCGAGCGGCGGACGGGUGAGUAACGCGUGAGGAACCUGCCUCGGAGUGGGGAAUAACAGUUGGAAACAGCUGCUAAUACCGCAUAAUGCAACGGAAUCGCAUGACUCUGUUGCCAAAGAUUUAUCGCUCUGAGAUGGCCUCGCGUCUGAUUAGCUAGUUGGCGGGGUAACGGCCCACCAAGGCGACGAUCAGUAGCCGGACUGAGAGGUUGGCCGGCCACAUUGGGACUGAGACACGGCCCAG